AAAAAAAAAAGAAAAGAAAAGAAAAGAAGAACUGGGAGUGAAGUUGAGAGGAGAAGAAUCUGGUGUCAUCUGAGACCGCCGCUACCUACCGGAAUCAACCACCGUUGCCGCUUGCUGUCGACCAUCACCAAAAAGGACGCUGUAAGUUUUGCCUUUUCUUAUAGACAGCUUCUAAACUAUGAGAAUCACAAGUUUCUUUGGUAUUUUUGAUGACUGAUAUUGAGGUUCCUUUUGUGAGUAUGGCCUUUCGUUCUUGGGUCCUAAGAUUAAGAGUUUGCUGCAACAAGAUUGAAUCUUUCGACUUGUUGCAGCAGUUCGGGCAUGUCGGUUUCUUUUUCUUU
rnacentral:lncRNA from 1 species